UUAAGCGACUAAGCGUACACGGUGGAUGCCCUGGCAGUCAGAGGCGAUGAAGGACGUGCUAAUCUGCGAUAAGCGUCGGUAAGGUGAUAUGAACCGUUAUAACCGGCGAUUUCCGAAUGGGGAAACCCAGUGUGUUUCGACACACUAUCAUUAACUGAAUCCAUAGGUUAAUGAGGCGAACCGGGGGAACUGAAACAUCUAAGUACCCCGAGGAAAAGAAAUCAACCGAGAUUCCCCCAGUAGCGGCGAGCGAACGGGGAGCAGCCCAGAGCCUGAAUCAGUGUGUGUGUUAGUGGAAGCGUCUGGAAAGGCGCGCGAUACAGGGUGACAGCCCCGUACACAAAAAUGCACAUACUGUGAGCUCGAUGAGUAGGGCGGGACACGUGGUAUCCUGUCUGAAUAUGGGGGGACCAUCCUCCAAGGCUAAAUACUCCUGACUGACCGAUAGUGAACCAGUACCGUGAGGGAAAGGCGAAAAGAACCCCGGCGAGGGGAGUGAAAAAGAACCUGAAACCGUGUACGUACAAGCAGUGGGAGCACGCUUCGGCGUGUGACUGCGUACCUUUUGUAUAAUGGGUCAGCGACUUAUAUUCUGUAGCAAGGUUAACCGAAUAGGGGAGCCGAAGGGAAACCGAGUCUUAACUGGGCGUUAAGUUGCAGGGUAUAGACCCGAAACCCGGUGAUCUAGCCAUGGGCAGGUUGAAGGUUGGGUAACACUAACUGGAGGACCGAACCGACUAAUGUUGAAAAAUUAGCGGAUGACUUGUGGCUGGGGGUGAAAGGCCAAUCAAACCGGGAGAUAGCUGGUUCUCCCCGAAAGCUAUUUAGGUAGCGCCUCGUGAAUUCAUCUCCGGGGGUAGAGCACUGUUUCGGCAAGGGGGUCAUCCCGACUUACCAACCCGAUGCAAACUGCGAAUACCGGAGAAUGUUAUCACGGGAGACACACGGCGGGUGCUAACGUCCGUCGUGAAGAGGGAAACAACCCAGACCGCCAGCUAAGGUCCCAAAGUCAUGGUUAAGUGGGAAACGAUGUGGGAAGGCCCAGACAGCCAGGAUGUUGGCUUAGAAGCAGCCAUCAUUUAAAGAAAGCGUAAUAGCUCACUGGUCGAGUCGGCCUGCGCGGAAGAUGUAACGGGGCUAAACCAUGCACCGAAGCUGCGGCAGCGACACUAUGUGUUGUUGGGUAGGGGAGCGUUCUGUAAGCCUGUGAAGGUGUACUGUGAGGAAUGCUGGAGGUAUCAGAAGUGCGAAUGCUGACAUAAGUAACGAUAAAGCGGGUGAAAAGCCCGCUCGCCGGAAGACCAAGGGUUCCUGUCCAACGUUAAUCGGGGCAGGGUGAGUCGACCCCUAAGGCGAGGCCGAAAGGCGUAGUCGAUGGGAAACAGGUUAAUAUUCCUGUACUUGGUGUUACUGCGAAGGGGGGACGGAGAAGGCUAUGUUGGCCGGGCGACGGUUGUCCCGGUUUAAGCGUGUAGGCUGGUUUUCCAGGCAAAUCCGGAAAAUCAAGGCUGAGGCGUGAUGACGAGGCACUACGGUGCUGAAGCAACAAAUGCCCUGCUUCCAGGAAAAGCCUCUAAGCAUCAGGUAACAUUAAAUCGUACCCCAAACCGACACAGGUGGUCAGGUAGAGAAUACCAAGGCGCUUGAGAGAACUCGGGUGAAGGAACUAGGCAAAAUGGUGCCGUAACUUCGGGAGAAGGCACGCUGAUAUGUAGGUGAAGUCCCUCGCGGAUGGAGCUGAAAUCAGUCGAAGAUACCAGCUGGCUGCAACUGUUUAUUAAAAACACAGCACUGUGCAAACACGAAAGUGGACGUAUACGGUGUGACGCCUGCCCGGUGCCGGAAGGUUAAUUGAUGGGGUUAGCGGUAACGCGAAGCUCUUGAUCGAAGCCCCGGUAAACGGCGGCCGUAACUAUAACGGUCCUAAGGUAGCGAAAUUCCUUGUCGGGUAAGUUCCGACCUGCACGAAUGGCGUAAUGAUGGCCAGGCUGUCUCCACCCGAGACUCAGUGAAAUUGAACUCGCUGUGAAGAUGCAGUGUACCCGCGGCAAGACGGAAAGACCCCGUGAACCUUUACUAUAGCUUGACACUGAACAUUGAGCCUUGAUGUGUAGGAUAGGUGGGAGGCUUUGAAGUGUGGACGCCAGUCUGCAUGGAGCCGACCUUGAAAUACCACCCUUUAAUGUUUGAUGUUCUAACGUUGACCCGU
rnacentral:rRNA from 1 species